rnacentral:rRNA from 1 species
CCUGAGAAAUCCAAAAGUUCGAAUGGAGAGAUUCAGCGUCAGCGGCUGGUUGGCUUGCGUGUGAUUCGCGAUGCUCGUGCGUGCGGUGCUUUCGGGUAUUUAGCGCGCGCGUGGCACGUGGUUGCUGCGUCAUGUCCGAUCACGCCGGCGUGCACUUCUCUCCUAGUAGGACGUCGCGACCCGUUGGGUGUUGCGGUCAAAGGCCCGUACGGUAGACUGUUGCGCUCACGCGCGACAGACCAUCGGUGUUCUUAACCCGACCGACUGCCCGACGGUAUUGAAAAAUUUUAUAUCAAGAUUGGUAUCGAGCCGCACACUUUUGAAUGCGUUCGGCUUGACGAUCGACUGAGGCUCGCUCGGAUCUUACGGACCUGGUGCCGUUGCCGUGCGCUUGCUUUUCUCGGUUCGUCAAUGUCCUCGAACAGGCUCCGCGCGCGUGCUUCGCGCGCGCGCGCUCUCGUUUACCGGUCGGCGACGCUUUUGCUUUGGAUACUUUCAGG